AAUGAACGUUGGCGGCGUGGAUUAGGCAUGCAAGUCGAGCGCUCAUAGCAAUAUGGGAGCGGCGAACGGCGUAGUAAUAUGUAGGAACGUACCCUCGGGUCGGGGAUAGCCAUGGGAAACUGUGGGUAAUACCCGAUAAUCUCUGCGGAGCAAAGGUGUGAUUCCGCCUGAGGAGCGGCCUACACGAUAUUAGCUAGUUGGUAGGGUAAUGGCCUACCAAGGCUACGAUGUCUAGGGGGUGUGAGAGCAUGGCCCCCACGACCGGAACUGAGAUACUGUCCGGACACCUACGGGUGGCUGCAGUCGAGAAUCUUCCGCAAUGGACGAAAGUCUGACGGAGCGACGCCGCGUGCGGGGAUGAAGGCCCUUGGGUUGUAAACCGCUGUCAGAGGGGAUGAAAUCUUCGGAGGUGCUCUCCAAAGUUGACAGAGCCUCAAAGGAAGCACGGGCUAAGUACGUG
rnacentral:rRNA from 1 species